GACGAACGCUGGCGGCGUGCUUAACACAUGCAAGUCGAACGGAAAGGCCUGCUUUCCCUUGUGGAUUGCGGGUACUCGAGUGGCGAACGGGUGAGUAACACGUGAGUGAUCUGCCCCCAACUUGGGUAUAAGCCUGGGAAACUGGGUCUAAUUCCCGAUAGGACUGCAGGGUGGUGCCUGUGGUGGAAAACGAUUUUCUAGUGGUUGGGGAUGAGCUCGCGGCCUAUCAGCUUGUUGGUGGGGUAAUGGCCUACCAAGGCGGCGACGGGUAGCCGGCCUGAGAGGGUGGACGGCCACAUUGGGACUGAGAUACGGCCCAGACUCCUACGGGAGGCAGCAGUGGGGAAUAUUGCACAAUGGGCGGAAGCCUGAUGCAGCGACGCCGCGUGGGGGAUGACGGCCUUCGGGUUGUAAACUCCUUUCGACCGCGAGGAAGCCACCUGGUUGGAAGGGUGGUGACGGUAGUGGUAGAAGAGGCACCGGCUAACUACGUG
rnacentral:rRNA from 1 species